rfam:Salmo salar isolate Sally breed double haploid chromosome ssa16, whole genome shotgun sequence.
UAGCUCCGUUGGUAGAGCAUGGUGUUUGCAACGCCAGGGUUGUGGGUUCAAUUCCCAC